GGCUACGCUCGGCCCACGAGCUUAUCUCUUUCCCACUCGUCUCGACUCGUCGUCACCGCCGAUGGCAACUCAACCCCUGCAUCCGCGCCUCUGUGCGGCUUCUCCCCCUCCCAUCUUCCUCCCUCGGGCCUCCGCCUCCCGCCGUUCCUGGGUUCCUCCGCUGCGUCGAGGACCACCGAAUCGGAAGAUGAUCCAUGGAAGAUCCCUGAAUGAUCGAUUUCUUGGCAACAAGGACUACGCCGCGUUAGUCAAGGCCGUGAUUGUGAACGAAGAACCUGACAUUGCAUUUCAACUCGUAAAUGAAUUGAAAUCCAAAGGAUUUAAGCCUGGUUGUGAUGUCCUCUCCGGUUUGAUGCUUUGUUAUGCUAAAAAUGGCUUCUUCAUGCAAGCCCAGGCUUUGUGGGGUGAGAUCAUAAACAGCUCGUUCGAGCCGCGCAUCGAGGUCAUCUGGGAUCUGAUGAAGGCCUAUGCCCAGAUGGGCCAGUUUGAUGAGAUAACUAGGAUUGUCCAUGAGACCACCCUCAGAAAUUUUGGCUUCGGUCCUGAGGUUUACACGAUGGCUGUCUCUUGUUUUGGGAAAGCUGGCCAGCUUCGGUUGAUGGAGGAAGCUGUAAAAGAAAUGGUCUCAAGAGGUUUUAAGGUCAACUCUGUAAGUGGCAACGCUUAUGUUAAGUAUUACAGCAUAUAUGGUUCAAUGGAAGAUAUGGAAGCUGCAUAUGAGCGCUUGAAGAAAUCAAGAAUUCUGAUUGAGAAGGGAGCGAUCCGAGCGAUGGCAUCUGCGUACAUAAACCAAAGACAAUUCUAUAAAUUUGGUGAAUUUCUUCGGGAUGUAGGUCUUGGCAGACGGAAUGUGGGAAAUCUUCUGUGGAACCUACUUUUGCUAUCUUAUGCUGCAAAUUUUAAAAUGAAAAGCUUGCAAAGAGAGUUUCUUGGUAUGUUGGAUGCUGGUUUCUCACCUGAUAUAUCCACGUUCAAUAUCAGAGCAUUGGCAUAUUCAAGGAUGUCUAUGUUCUGGGAUCUCCAUUUGAGCAUCCAGCACAUGAGGUAUAAGCGUGUCAUACCAGAUCUUGUUACAUAUGGUUGCAUUGUGGAUGCCUUCUUGGAGAGAAGGCUUGCAAGAAAUAUUUCCUUUGAAUUACGAAAAUUGGAUGUUGAGGCCACUCCAAUUAUGUUAACUGAUCCGCUAGUUUUUGAGGUCUUUGGUAAGGGUGAUUUCCAUUCAAGCUCCGAGGCUCUAUUAAAAUCCACAAGGCAGAGGGAUUGGACAUAUUCAAAGCUCCUAGCAAUAUAUCUAAAAAAACAAUACAGGAGAAACCAAAUCUUUUGGAAUUAUUGAUGAAAUUCAUUGAUGUUUUCUCAGAAGACAAUGAUGAGGUUGCAACCAGAAUAUCUUUUAGGAGCGAAUGAACUCAGUAAUUUGAGGUUGGAAAGUCACCAAUCACCAUAGGAUUUAUAUACUUGAGCAGAGAAUACAUACAUAAAGUGCACACCAAGAAUGAAACACUCAGUAUUCUUGUAGGAUGUCUGGUGGAUCGAAGAACUAUGUAUGCAAAUUGAUUUCAUGCAUUGUAUUAUUUGUCAAACAGAGCAGCAGCUCAAGCACGAAAUUUUGAGCCUACAUGUACUGGAAAGAAUAGUUCUUUUAUGUUAUGAUUUA